rnacentral:misc_RNA from 1 species
GAUGAAGAACGUAGCGAAAUGCGAUAAUUAAUGUGAAUUGCAGAAUUCCGUGAAUCAUCGAGUCUUUGAACGCACAUUGCGCCCGCCAGUAUUCUGGCGGGCAUGCCUGUUCGAGCGUCAUUUCAACCCUCAAGCCCCCGGGCUUGGUGUUGGGGAUCGGCGUGCCCUCGCGGCGCGCCGUCCCCUAAAUCUAGUGGCGGUCUCGCUGUAGCUUCCUCUGCGUAGUAGCAACACUCGCACUGGAUCGCAGCGCGGCCACGCCGUUAAACCCCCCACUUCUGAAAGUUUGACCUCGGAUCAGGUAGGAAUACCCGCUGAACUUAAGCAUAUCAAUAAGCGGAGGA